AUUGAACGCUGGCGGCAGGCCUAACACAUGCAAGUCGAACGAGUGGCGGACGGGUGAGUAAUGUCUGGGAAACUGCCUGAUGGAGGGGGAUAACUACUGGAAACGGUAGCUAAUACCGCAUACCAUCAGAUGUGCCCAGAUGGGAUUAGCUUGUUGGUGGGGUAACGGCUCACCAAGGCGACGAUCCCUAGCUGGUCGGAGAGGAUGACCGGCAAAACUGGAACUGGGAAACGUUCCAGACUCCUACGGGAGGAAGCAGUGGGGAAUAUUGCAAAAUGGGGGCAAGCCGGAUGCAGCAAUGCCGCGUGUAUGAAGAAGGCCUUCGGGUUGUAAAGUAUGUUCAGCGGGGAGGCGUUACCCGCAGAAGAAGCACCGGCUAACUCCGUGCCAGCAGCCGCGGUAAUAC
rnacentral:rRNA from 1 species